GCUAGUUGUAUUAACUAUUAGUUAAUGCAAGAUCGACUACGUCGACUAAAGUUCUAGGUAGAAUAAUGAUGAUGACAAUUUUUUAUCUAUAUGUCUUGACCAAGUCUCGUGCCAGCAGUCGCGGUAAUACGUGGAAGACUAGUGUUAUUCAUCUUUAAUAGGUUUAAAGGGUACCUAGACGGUAUUUCUAGCCCAAAAUAGGGUACGGAUUUACUAGAGUUUUAUGUGAGGAGGGGAGUACUUAUGGAGUAGAGAUGAAAUUUUGUGAUACUAUGAGGAAACUGGUGGCGGCGAAAGCAACCUUCUAUGUAUAAACUGACGUUGAGGGACGAAGGCUUGGGUAGCAAAUAGGAUUAGAUACCCUAGUAGUCCAAGCAGACAAUUCUGAAUGCCAUAGAUUAGAUUAUUUUUGGUCUAUAAAUGAAAGUGUAAGCAUUCCACCUUAGGAGUAAUGUGGCAACACAGGAACUGAAAUCAUUAGACCGUUUCUGAAACCAGUAGUGAAGUAUGUUAUUUAAUUUGAUGGUCCACAAAAAACCUUACCACAACUUGAAUAUUAUUAAAUUAAUACAAGCGUUGCACGGCUGUCUUCAGUUAAUGUCGUGAGAUUUUGGUUAACUCCAUUAAUUAACGUAAACCCUUACUUUAU
rnacentral:rRNA from 1 species